AAUACCUCUCUGGACCAUCAAAAGAAUAUGGGAUAUAAACUCCUGGUUCAAUCGUUAUCACCUGCCCAUGACAGCAAAAGUAUCAGCUCUUUCAUUUCCUUGAAAUGAUUCCACUUGGGCCACAUAUACAUAGGGAAGUGUUGUGAAUUUCAGAUCUAACUUAGUUGAACAAAAAUCAGAAAGAGCCACAAAUCUGUAACAUGAUCUAAAGAACAGCCAUAUUCUCCACAAGCUAUAUAAUCUUGGAU